rnacentral:lncRNA from 1 species
AUGGAAACCCUUGUGAAGGUCGUAUCAAAGUUGUGGAAGCUAUGGGGUGGCUCGGCUGAGGAAGCCAAGGGUGCCGGUGGGGAACCAGAGCCUGAGGAAAUCUGGGAGAGACCACGGCCAUGUGCGCCCCAGUACGGUGCUGCACUAGAAGACGAAGGGUGGGACAAAGAAGCCUCCGGCAGGAAUGGGGAUGAAGUGUUAGGUUUUACUAACACAUGGAAAUGUGAGAAAGAGAACGGUUGCGGGGACGACCGGGGAGGAGUUAGAAGCGUGAGAGAGGGGCAGAGAGACGAUCGGAACGGCCAUCUGAGAAAACGCUCCAGUGGCGCAAACGCCUCACUGAGAAGGCGGCGGGGCGAGCCACGAGGCAGAGAGUGGCCUGCCCGUAGGGGUGGGGGGCGGGGCUGGAACUCGAUGGGAGGGUACUGGAACUCGGAGGUGAACAGUCAGUCGAGCUCCGACUCCGGAUCAGAUACCGAUUCAAAUUCGGAGGAGGAAAUGGGGACAGAUAACAAAAACAUCCCCAUCCGAAAUAAAGCUGCACCGCGAGGGGGAGAAAUUCCUCUCACGGAUUGGAGAAAAAUUAAGAUUGCGUGCGCCGACUGGGCCCCAUCAGCCACGUUAGCUUUCCCAGUCCGGGUGACAGACGGGGGCCAGAGGGUUUAUUCACCAAUAAACCCUAAAGACAUACAGACAAUUGUUAAAGCCAUUGCGGACAAAGGGCUUAAUUCUGCAAUGGUCUCCACCCUUAUAGAUGGUGUUUUCAGGGGAGACGACAUGCUCCCAUUCGAUAUAAAACAAACUUGUCGACUGAUCUUUGACGGGGCAGGGAUGAUGGUUUUUAAACAAGAAUGGGAGGAUAACUGUAUGAAACAAUUGGCCCAAGUAACUAGGGCGGAUCACCCGCUUUAUGGCUCUAGCCUGCAGCGGCUAAUGGGUACGGACCCAACAAUGAUCACCCCCCAGGCACAAGCCCAGGGCCUGCGGGCUCAUGAAGUUAUGUCAACUACUCAUGCAGCCAGAGAAGCUAUUCGUACAGCCUCUAGAGUUAUUGCCAAACCAUCCCCGUGGUCAACAAUAAAACAAAGUGAAAGCGAGAGCUUUGCACAGUUUGUAGACCGUCUCCAGGCAGCAGUUGACUCAUCGUCACUGCCCGUGGAGGCAAAAGGCCCAGUCAUAGCAGAAUGCCUACGCCAGCAGUGUAAUUCAGCAACCAGAGAAAUCUUGCGAUCACUGCCAGUGGGGUCUAGCAUCGCAGACAUGAUUAAACAUGUCAUGAGAGAGGAGCACCUAACCCCGAUCCAAGUAGCUGUUCACACCGCAAUAACUAACAUGAUGGCAUGUUUUAAAUGUGGCCAGGUAGGCCACGUCAUUGCAAAUUGCCCUCAGUUGGGGGGUCCGUCAACAGCACUCCCCCCAUACCAAAACCAACCCAGAGGACCGUGUUGGGUUUGUGGAAGGAAAGGGCACUUCGCCAAGGAAUACUAGAAGAAGGCCCGUCAGUUAUAGUUAGAAACAAGCUGGGAGAAUGGGAACAAGGGUGGAAAUUAGUUCUGACAGGGCGAGGGUAUGCUGCAGUUAAAAAAGAUGGCAGGGUCAAAUGGUGUCCGCUUAAGUCCAUCAAACCAGACCUUACUAACGAAAACUGAGUUUCUGUUCACAGGAAUGGAUCAUUGGACACCCCCGUAAUCUGUAUACCCCGGUGACAAGAGAAGACAAUAAGUCAGCAAGCGUCCUGCCUAAGGGUGAGAGCUCCACACUGGCAGAACCCAAACAACAGCAAGGCAGCCUCCAUGGGUGGAGGGCUGCGAUGCCUUUGUAUGAUCUUAUCUUUGGACCUUGUAUACUAAAUAAGCUUCUGUUGUUUGUUAAAAGUUGGUUAGAGAAAGUUUACAUUAUGUUGGUGGAACACCAACAGCUACUUUAAGAGUGUAUUUACUCAGGGUUACCAGUUACCUCCUAGUUUUCUCCUGGUUAUUGUGCCUUAUGUUUUUAUUUUAAGUUAUGAUGUCUAUGUCUUAAGAUUGUUAUAUUUUAGCUAAUUUGGUUGUGCAUAGGGAGGGGGGAAAUGUGGGUAGUUAGGGUCUGGCGGCCGGAAGAUGUCGCGCUGUACGGAAAAGUGGAGCCCCUCCCUUGAUGGACAGUAGCAUGUGGCCUGUGAUGUAAGCAAGCGGAAGUGACGCUAUGGGCUUCGGGUAGAUAACCCCAUGUGACUCGACAAUAAACGCCAUUUGCCAUCCA